UUAAGCGACUAAGCGUACACGGUGGAUGCCCUGGCAGUCAGAGGCGAUGAAGGACGUGCUAAUCUGCGAUAAGCGUCGGUAAGGUGAUAUGAACCGUUAUAACCGGCGAUUUCCGAAUGGGGAAACCCAGUGUGUUUCGACACACUAUCAUUAACUGAAUCCAUAGGUUAAUGAGGCGAACCGGGGGAACUGAAACAUCUAAGUACCCCGAGGAAAAGAAAUCAACCGAGAUUCCCCCAGUAGCGGCGAGCGAACGGGGAGCAGCCCAGAGCCUGAAUCAGUGUGUGUGUUAGUGGAAGCGUCUGGAAAGGCGCGCGAUACAGGGUGACAGCCCCGUACACAAAAAUGCACAUGCUGUGAGCUCGAUGAGUAGGGCGGGACACGUGGUAUCCUGUCUGAAUAUGGGGGGACCAUCCUCCAAGGCUAAAUACUCCUGACUGACCGAUAGUGAACCAGUACCGUGAGGGAAAGGCGAAAAGAACCCCGGCGAGGGGAGUGAAAAAGAACCUGAAACCGUGUACGUACAAGCAGUGGGAGCACAGAGCAAUCUGUGUGACUGCGUACCUUUUGUAUAAUGGGUCAGCGACUUAUAUUCUGUAGCAAGGUUAACCGAAUAGGGGAGCCGAAGGGAAACCGAGUCUUAACUGGGCGUUAAGUUGCAGGGUAUAGACCCGAAACCCGGUGAUCUAGCCAUGGGCAGGUUGAAGGUUGGGUAACACUAACUGGAGGACCGAACCGACUAAUGUUGAAAAAUUAGCGGAUGACUUGUGGCUGGGGGUGAAAGGCCAAUCAAACCGGGAGAUAGCUGGUUCUCCCCGAAAGCUAUUUAGGUAGCGCCUCGUGAAUUCAUCUCCGGGGGUAGAGCACUGUUUCGGCAAGGGGGUCAUCCCGACUUACCAACCCGAUGCAAACUGCGAAUACCGGAGAAUGUUAUCACGGGAGACACACGGCGGGUGCUAACGUCCGUCGUGAAGAGGGAAACAACCCAGACCGCCAGCUAAGGUCCCAAAGUCAUGGUUAAGUGGGAAACGAUGUGGGAAGGCCCAGACAGCCAGGAUGUUGGCUUAGAAGCAGCCAUCAUUUAAAGAAAGCGUAAUAGCUCACUGGUCGAGUCGGCCUGCGCGGAAGAUGUAACGGGGCUAAACCAUGCACCGAAGCUGCGGCAGCGACGCUUAUGCGUUGUUGGGUAGGGGAGCGUUCUGUAAGCCUGUGAAGGUGUGCUGUGAGGCAUGCUGGAGGUAUCAGAAGUGCGAAUGCUGACAUAAGUAACGAUAAAGCGGGUGAAAAGCCCGCUCGCCGGAAGACCAAGGGUUCCUGUCCAACGUUAAUCGGGGCAGGGUGAGUCGACCCCUAAGGCGAGGCCGAAAGGCGUAGUCGAUGGGAAACAGGUUAAUAUUCCUGUACUUGGUGUUACUGCGAAGGGGGGACGGAGAAGGCUAUGUUGGCCGGGCGACGGUUGUCCCGGUUUAAGCGUGUAGGCUGGUUUUCCAGGCAAAUCCGGAAAAUCAAGGCUGAGGCGUGAUGACGAGGCACUACGGUGCUGAAGCAACAAAUGCCCUGCUUCCAGGAAAAGCCUCUAAGCAUCAGGUAACAUCAAAUCGUACCCCAAACCGACACAGGUGGUCAGGUAGAGAAUACCAAGGCGCUUGAGAGAACUCGGGUGAAGGAACUAGGCAAAAUGGUGCCGUAACUUCGGGAGAAGGCACGCUGAUAUGUAGGUGAAGUCCCUCGCGGAUGGAGCUGAAAUCAGUCGAAGAUACCAGCUGGCUGCAACUGUUUAUUAAAAACACAGCACUGUGCAAACACGAAAGUGGACGUAUACGGUGUGACGCCUGCCCGGUGCCGGAAGGUUAAUUGAUGGGGUUAGCGGUAACGCGAAGCUCUUGAUCGAAGCCCCGGUAAACGGCGGCCGUAACUAUAACGGUCCUAAGGUAGCGAAAUUCCUUGUCGGGUAAGUUCCGACCUGCACGAAUGGCGUAAUGAUGGCCAGGCUGUCUCCACCCGAGACUCAGUGAAAUUGAACUCGCUGUGAAGAUGCAGUGUACCCGCGGCAAGACGGAAAGACCCCGUGAACCUUUACUAUAGCUUGACACUGAACAUUGAGCCUUGAUGUGUAGGAUAGGUGGGAGGCUUUGAAGUGUGGACGCCAGUCUGCAUGGAGCCGGCCUUGAAAUACCACCCUUUAAUGUUUGAUGUUCUAACGUUGGCCCCUGAUCGGGGUUGCGGACAGUGUCUGGUGGGUAGUUUGACUGGGGCGGUCUCCUCCUAAAGAGUAACGGAGGAGCACGAAGGUUGGCUAAUCCUGGUCGGACAUCAGGAGGUUAGUGCAAUGGCAUAAGCCAGCUUGACUGCGAGCGUGACGGCGCGAGCAGGUGCGAAAGCAGGUCAUAGUGAUCCGGUGGUUCUGAAUGGAAGGGCCAUCGCUCAACGGAUAAAAGGUACUCCGGGGAUAACAGGCUGAUACCGCCCAAGAGUUCAUAUCGACGGCGGUGUUUGGCACCUCGAUGUCGGCUCAUCACAUCCUGGGGCUGAAGUAGGUCCCAAGGGUAUGGCUGUUCGCCAUUUAAAGUGGUACGCGAGCUGGGUUUAGAACGUCGUGAGACAGUUCGGUCCCUAUCUGCCGUGGGCGCUGGAGAACUGAGGGGGGCUGCUCCUAGUACGAGAGGACCGGAGUGGACGCAUCACUGGUGUUCGGGUUGUCAUGCCAAUGGCACUGCCCGGUAGCUAAAUGCGGAAGAGAUAAGUGCUGAAAGCAUCUAAGCACGAAACUUGCCCCGAGAUGAGUUCUCCCUGACUCCUUGAGAGUCCUGAAGGAACGUUGAAGACGACGACGUUGAUAGGCCGGGUGUGUAAGCGCAGCGAUGCGUUGAGCUAACCGGUACUAAUGAACCGUGAGGCUUAACCUU
rnacentral:rRNA from 1 species